UAAGCACGAAACUUGCCCCGAGAUGAGUUCUCCCUGACUCCUUGAGAGUCCUGAAGGAACGUUGAAGACGACGACGUUGAUAGGCCGGGUGUGUAAGCGCAGCGAUGCGUUGAGCUAACCGGUACUAAUGAACCGUGAGGCUUAACCUUACAACGCCGAAG
rnacentral:rRNA from 1 species